ensembl:lncRNA
CGAGCAGUGCGGCUUGGCAGGGUCGUGUUUCAGAGGACGCAUGGCCUCCCCCGAUUCUGUAGAAGCAGUGUAAAUUCAGAUGCAUAUCCCAGAUUAAACCAAGGAAUCCUCUUUUAAAGAAGCAUUCUCUACGCCCUGACUGGUUAGUCUUCUCUACAUUCUGAUACUACUACCCUGGUGUGACCUGAGGCUCAGCCGACGUCAUGGCUAUCUCUCCUACCGUAACCCUCCACCUGGACGAUGGUGUGGUGCGUGGCCUGGACCUGCAGUCUUGUGCUGUCCAGCUGUGUAAAGGACAUGGUCACUGUGUGGCUCAGGGACAGGUCACCACCUGUGAGUGUAUCCUGGGGUACAGAGGAGAGUUCUGCCAUGAGAGUGUCAAUGAGGCAAUCGGUGUUCCGCUCACCCUGGGGGUAGUGGCCUUUAUCGUUGGCAUCCUCAUCCUCUCCUUCCUCAUUGCAUUCAUCAGGCAGAGGGUCAAGGUCAAAAGGAAAGCUGCAGCCAAGGAUUCAAGUGGUUUAGAAAAAGACAUUCUGUAGCAUCAAGGUUUGGUUGACGGUCCAACAUCAGAGCACAUCCCCUUCAUCAGGCUUUAUCCCCGGUAUAAACAAUUAUAUACUGUAGUACUAUUUAUAUAAACAACUAUUUACUGUAGUACUCUUCAUAUGAACUACAUGCGUUAGUGUUAACUACUAUACCAUAGCACUACUUAUAUAAACAACUAUGCUGUGGUACUAAUAGAAAUCCAUAUAUGGUGGGACGACUCGUGAAAAGUAAGGACUGUUUUUGGCGAUAGCUGUGUUUGAAUACUAACAAACUGUAUACUACAUACUUAAUAAGUGUAUAUUACAUACUAUAUACUGUUUGUUGAUUUUUAGUAUACUGUAAAUGUCCGGUAUCCUUUCAGUUGAUUGUACUAGCGCUUUGCCUGUCUAUCUGUAGUUGAUGCUGUUGCUAUGCAACUUCUUGUUAGCAUAGCUAACAAAUGACUAGCUAGACGUUUUAUGACUUCAUUGAGAACCCACAAUGGCUAUACCACUUAGCUAAGCCAAGAAUAAUCAAGCCAAUAAAUUUUGGGUAGUUUGCAUAUAGUUAAUAUACUGGCGAGUUUGUAUUAGUAACUAGCUAACAUACAGUACCUACAAGCAACUGCUGUAAUGAUACGCUAUGCAGUUCUAUGCUAACAAACUGUCAGCGAACGUAACUUAUUUGAAAAGUCGUUACUCCAGAGUGGUGCAGCGGUCUAAGGCACUGCAUCUCAGUGCUAAAGGUGUCACUACAGACCCUGGUUCGAUUCCAGGCUGUAUCACAACCGACCGUGAUUAGGAGUCCCAUAGGGCGGCGCACAAUUGGCCCAGGGUCGUUAGGGUUUGGCCGGGGUAGGCCGUCAUUUUAAAUAAGAAUUUGUUCUCAACUGACUUGCCUAGUUAAACCCCAAUAUAUAUAUAUAUUAAAGGUUACAUAAAAAUUACAUUUCUCAACAAUUUCCUUCCGUUUGAGCCUGGCCUGACUGGCUUACCUCCUUUUAGAGCCUGGCCUGACUGGUUAGUUGGUAACAUUUAACACAUUUUCUCCAAAACAUGACAGGAAUUUCAACGCUGGUAAACCAGUCAGUCCAACAGUGUUUUUCAUUGGCAACAGAAAGCAUCCGCUGGGGAUUGAGGUUUGAAAAUAAACACUGUUCUAUACAGGCUGUAGUGUUCGUCAAAACAGGUUUCGUCUUGCAUACUUAGGAUUGCAUGACUAUCCCUAUUGUGCUGCUGAGUGCCUUAGAUCAAAGUGAAGUUUACUGUCCAACAUCAGAGCUUGGCCUUUUCAUUGGCUCCAUCCCUGGUACAUGUAUAAAUAACUAUAUAUUGUAGUACUAUUCAUAUAAACAACUAUAUACUGUAGUACUUUUAAUACAAGCAACUAAAUACUUUAGUACUAUUUAUAUUACCAACUAUAUACUGUAGUACUAUUCAUAAACUACAUGCGCUAGUACUACUAGUGUUAACUACUAUACAAUAGGACUUCUUAUAUAAACAAAUAUGCUGUGGUACUAAUAUAAAACCACAUGGUGGGACUACUCGUAUAAAGGACUUUUUUUUGGGGUCACGUCUUUAUACUGACUAACUUUAUACUUUUUUUCUGGGAAACCAAAGCCUCGACGAGCAGCAGCUUUUCUCACGCUGAUCCUGGCCAUGCUGUUAUGACUGAUUAGUGUGGUGAUGCACUCUGUUGCCUAACUUGUUUGUGUUGCUUGUGGCUGUAUUGCUUGUGGUUUGUUGCCUGACUUGUUUGUGCUGCUUGUGGCUGUGUUGCCUGACUGUUGCCUGACUGACUGGUUUGUGCUGUGUUGCCUGAUUGUUGCCUGACUGGUUUGUGUUUAUGGUUGUGUUGCUUGUGGUUUGUUAACUGAUUUUGUGUUGCCUGACUUAGUGUUAUCUAUGACUCAUUAGUGACUAAUAGACCUAAGCAAUGGCAACAUUCAGUUGCUCCUAAACAUGACAGGAAUUCAAACUGAGCUUUUCAUUGGCCACAAAGGUUUGAAAAUAUACACUGUAUACAAGUCUGGUCCCCUUGCUGAUAUAAUUUUCUCUUGUAACUGUAAACUCAAGUGAGUUUUUGUCUUAAUUUCAAGCUGAUCCAGUCUCUCCCUCUAGAGGUUGGUUACAACAUAAUGGAAGCCUGUCCAGUCAUGGACCUUCGGAUCAUACAACCGCCUUGUUAAUUCCAUGUGGAUAAAAUGCUAUUAUGUUCUUGAAUAAUUAUUAUAGACGCAUUGCAAACAAAAUAUUUUAUCAAUUGUAUUUUUUAAGCUUUGUUCUUGUAUCUGAAUGUUGGAUAUGCUUAAACCUGGGCAAAUUCACAUUAAAACACUGUUUACUUCUGUGUGAUCAAUGUCUCUUAGUGGUAUCCUUUUAAACGGAUUGUUUAUCACAUUUGUAGAACUAACCUGUAGAUCACUAGGCCUAGUUUUUUUACCUGUUUAUGACAUCCAUGUACUUGGCCAACAAAACAACUUGUUAGCAUUCCUAGAGUAGAAAGCAGGGUUUGGAACCAAAUUAUUUUACAAUCGUUUUGUUCAACUCUUCUGACCAGCAAAAUAAAGUUCUGAACUGGUUUGAAGCAACAACAAAACAUGUACCAGUAUAUAUUCCUUUUUAUAACCUGUCAAAUAAACUUCUUUUAAAAACA